rnacentral:rRNA from 1 species
AACUAACGCUGGCGGCGUGCCUAACACAUGCAAGUCGUACGAGAAAGUCGGCUUCGGCUGAUGAGUAAAGUGGCGCACGGGUGAGUAACGCGUGGAUAAUCUGCCCUUGAGUGUGGAAUAACGUACCGAAAGGUGCGCUAAUACCGCAUAAUGCCUGGCAACACAAGUUGUCCGGCCAAAGAAGGCCUCUGUUUACAAGCUUUUGCUCAAGGAUGAGUCCGCGUACCAUUAGCUAGUUGGUGGGGUAACGGCCUACCAAGGCUACGAUGGUUAGCUGGUCUGAGAGGAUGAUCAGCCACACUGGAACUGAGACACGGUCCAGACUCCUACGGGAGGCAGCAGUGAGGGAUAUUGCGCAAUGGGGGCAACCCUGACGCAGCAACACCGCGUGAGUGAGGAAGGUUUUCGGACUGUAAAGCUCUGUCGAGCGGGAAGAAAUGUACCAUGGCUAAUAUCCAUGAUAUUUGACGGUACCGCUAGAGG